UGUCCUUUUUCGUUUCAUGCAUCAUACACAGUAUAUUUUUCAUACACUUAUAUUUUAAUAAAGGCGAGAGUUCGCGCAUCGGUAAGGUUGUUUGUCUUGUAAUAUGUGUUCACGGGUCGAAAUAGUUCGGGCAAUGUUCCCGCUGUUACCCUUCACUAGGUUGGAGUCUUGUAUACUAGACCAUCAUUUUUUACUAUUAGGUUUCCAUAGGUACCUCAUCCAUUUUAACUGAAAUAUUCUCCUUCUUAUGACUGUUAUAUUCCAAUUCAGAAUGAUGGGAAAACAUCAUUGUUUAAUGUUAUUGCAGUAUGUAACCACAAUCAGUGACUGAUAUCAUGUCUUUUCUUAUCCAAUGGAAAUUUCAUAGACCUUUCUUGCUGUAAGAUGUCAAAGCCCUGCCUUUAGUCUCAUCAGACCUCAUCUUGCAGCUAUUUGACUAUGAUUUGUUGCGACCGGCAUGAACUCUUGUCAUCUGCCGAUGUUACAAUGUGUCAUGUAACUUCCAAGAAGCAAAGUCAGUAAAAAUAGUGACCCGUCAUCAAAUUGUAUGCCACAUCAACAUCAAAGUGGGGACUAAUUGCAUCAAUCAGAAAACUAUUAGCGCCUUCUUUAAAUGGUAUCCCCCUGCUGGUCCUUCGUAAUAAGAUCGAUAAAGCAGGGACUUUGUCUGAGCAAGACUUUACAGAACAAAUGUGAGUCUUUUGCCUGGAUGUAUAAGAUAGACAGAUCUAGCUGCUGAAUAUGAUGUGACUAAAUCAGGAAGUUUGGUUCAACAUUUUCAUUUAAACAAGAGAUCAACUAUUGUACUGAGACUUAAGAUCAUGUGCCAGAGGAAUUUUUCAGUCUGUGAUUUGCAUCUUCUCCUGUUCUUUAGUAGCAGAAAUGAAACUGCAAUUAUUCCUUUCUGACUGAAAAUGCAGUUCAAGUCUUUGUCAUGCAUCCAAAGCGAGAAUCAUACCACUAGACAAAAUGCCCAUGUUGAAAACACAAGGGCUAAGUCAAAAUCAUCAUCAGUUAUUUUAUUAAAAUUGUUUACUCAUGUUACAUGAUCUGAAGUUUUAAAUUUCUUUAUGCAUGUGUAUGGUCUGCAGUUUUAUUAUGGUGUCAAGGAUCCAUCUCAAGACCAAUUGCCAAUGAGAGGAGUAGUAGGCCAAAAUGUAUUUAAACCAUGCCUAGGAGAACGAGGCAAACAAUGUGGACAAUGUGGACUUACUUCACAACAUAUUGUUUAUUCAUGCUGCAUAACCUUUGUCCUCUCAUGAAAAUGAAUCACUGAUUGAAGAUACCAAUUCCUGAAGCUAACAUGUUUUUUUAGUACAGCUGCUACGCUGUCACUUGGGACUGAAAAGCUUUCAGCCAACGCUCUUCGAUGUUCAUGGUUCACAUCGUACAUCUAAAGAAUGCAGGUAUGAUGUGGUGUGCUGAGACCUGAGAUCAUGUGCCACAAUCUCAGCUCUUUAACCGAUUCUUUAAAACUUGUAGAGAUGUGGACAUCAAAGCAACUGGCCAAGUGAAUGCAGGCAUCAUGUGGUGUGCUGAGACUUGAGAUCACGUGCCACAAUCUCAGUGUUUUAACCGAUUCUUGCAAACUUGUAGAGACAUUGACAUCAAAGCAGCUGGCUAUGUGGAUCCAUCAAAAAAACCAAUUGGGAAUGAGAGGAGUGACCAACAUGUAUCUAAACCAUGCUUAGGAGAAUGAGGCAAACAGUAUGGGACUUACUUCCCAACAUAAUGUUUAUUCAUGCUGCAUAAUCUGUCCUUUCAUGAAACUGAAUCACUGAAUGAAGCUAUCAAUUCCUAAAGCUAACAUGUUUUUUAGUACACCUGCUAAGCUGUCACUUGGGACUGAGAAGCUUUCAGCCAAUACUAUUCAACAUUCACGCUUCACGUCGUUCAUCCGAAGAAUGCAGGCAUCAUGUGGUAUGCUGAGACUUGAGGUCACGUGCCACAAUCUCAAUGCUUUAACCUAUUCUUGCAAACUGGUAGAGAUGUUGGUAUCAAAGCAGCUGGCUAAGUGAGGUAUGGAAAUCAAAGCAACUGGCCAAGGGCCUCACGCCUAGCUGUUCUUGUGCUCAAUAGCGAUGGCCUUGGUAUAGCCAGUUGCAUCAAAUUGACCAGACCUGCUUACCUGGAUAGACAAAUCUCAGAAAUUCUUAAAUGAUUCCAACAGCAACUAGCUGCAUAACCUAUGUCCUUUCUUGGAAAUGAAACACCGGAUGAAGCUAAUAAUUCCAGAAAGUGCAUUUUUUUGGGUAAGUGCUAACUGCUAAGCUGUCAGAGUUCAUGUAUCACAUAGUACGCCCCAAGGCAUUCCAUGCAGUCCCCUGAUGCAUAUUGGUGUUCUUUAAUGAUUCCAACAGCAAGUUGCUGCAUGCCUUAUGUCCUUUCAUUAAAAUGGAACACUGUGUGAAGCUAAAGAUUCCUGAAAC